UGCUUUAAAUAAUAGCGGGAUUUCCCGAAACGCGUUGUCAAUAUGAGAGUUAUCUCUCUUGUAGUGGUGAUUUAACUACGUGUAGAUCAGCCACAACAAGAAAUCAAAACAACGUAUUCUAAAGAUGUCUGAGUACAACCCCACCCAUGAAUCUUUAAACAUUUUGUUGGAACAGUUAGAGAAGAUGCAUGUUCAUCUACAAAGUAAUUUAAGUCAUUUUGUCAUACAGAUCAAACUAAAAGCCAGGAACUGGAAGGAUAAAAUGUCGGACACUGAAAUGGCAUUUAAAGAUGUAGUUGCCAUGGUAACAUCCGCGAAUGCUACAUUGAUAGAAUAUCUAGAUAUUAUAUCUGGUAAACUUAACAUUUGUAUCUUGCUUUUAGAUUUGGCAGCCUAAAUGCUAUGUUCAGCUUUUGGUUUUAGUUCUUUAAUCUCAGUUUUGAAACAUAAAUUGUGUAACAUAUAACAGAAAAUUUAGGCAUGGCAUUUAGCUAUUACUUUAGAGAAUAGUGUUUAUUUUAUGUUGAGCAUACACAAAG